GCUGUAUUUUAUGUUAAUGCAUUUUUCAAUGAUACGUAAGCAAGGUAUUUCGGGUCCUUUAUAG
rnacentral:tRNA from 1 species